GAUGAACGCUAGCGGCAGGCCUAACACAUGCAAGUCGAGGGGCAGCGGGAGUAGCAAUACUUUGCCGGCGACCGGCGCACGGGUGCGUAACGCGUAUGUGACCUACCUAUAACAGGGGGAUAACCCAGAGAAAUUUGGACUAAUACCCCAUAUUAUUAUUGAGCUGCAUGGUAGAAGUAUCAAAGCUCUGGCGGUACAGGAUGGACCCGCGUCUGAUUAGCUAGUUGGUAAGGUAACGGCUUACCAAGGCGACGAUCAGUAGCCGACCUGAGAGGGUGAUCGGCCACAUUGGAACUGAGACACGGUCCAAACUCCUACGGGAGGCAGCAGUGGGGAAUAUUGCACAAUGGGCGAAAGCCUGAUGCAGCAACGCCGCGUGAGCGAUGAAGGCCUUCGGGUCGUAAAGCUCUGUCCUCAAGGAAGAUAAUGACGGUACUUGAGGAGGAAGCCCCGGCUAACUACGUG
rnacentral:rRNA from 1 species